CAGUAGCCGCGGUAGUACGUAGGUGGCAAGCGUUGUCCGGAAUUAUUGGGCGUAAAGGGCUCGCAGGCGGUUUCUUAAGUCUGAUGUGAAAGCCCCCGGCUCAACCGGGGAGGGUCAUUGAAAACUGGGAAACUUGAGUGCAGAAGAGGAGAGUGGAAUUCCACGUGUAGCGGUGAAAUGCGUAGAGAUGUGGAGGAACACCAGUGGCGAAGGCGACUCUCUGGUCUGUAACUGACGCUGAGGAGCGAAAGCGUGGGUAGCGAACAGGAUUAGAUACCCGCGUAGUCCCUGUCUCUUAUAC
rnacentral:rRNA from 1 species